CCUACGGGUGACAGCAGUGGGGAAUAUUGCACAAUGGGGGAAACCCUGAUGCAGCGACGCCGCGUGAGUGAAGAAGUAUUUCGGUAUGUAAAGCUCUAUCAGCAGGGAAGAAAAUGACGGUACCUGAUUAAGAAGACCCGGCUAACUAAGUGCCAGCAGGCGCGGUAAUACGUAGGGGGCAAGCGUUAACCGGAUUUACUGGGUGGAAAGGGAGCGUAGACGGAAGGACAAGUCUGGAGUGAAAUGCCGGGGCUUAACCCCGGAACUGCUUUGGAAACUGUGCAGCUAGAGUGCAGGAGAGGUAAGUGGAAUUCCUAGUGUAGCGGUGAAAUGCGUAGAUAUUAGGAGGAACACCAGUGGCGAAGGCGGCUUACUGGACUGUAACUGACGUUGAGGCUCGAAAGCGUGGGGAGCAAAUAGGAUUAGAUACCCCGGUAGUC
rnacentral:rRNA from 1 species